CGGGGUGCACCAGGCGCGAAAACUUUACAAUGCCGGCAACGGCGAUAAGGGGACCUCGAGUGCCAGGUUACAAAUCUGGCUGUCGUGAUGCCUAAAAAGCAUUGCAUAGCAAGGGCCGGGCAAGACCGGUGCCAGCCGCCGCGGUAACACCGGCGGCUCGAGUGGUAACCGUUAUUAUUGGGUCUAAAGGGUCUGUAGCCGGCCGGAUAAGUCUCUUGGGAAAUCCAGCAGCUCAACUGUUGGGCUUUCAGGAGAUACUGUCUGGCUCGAGGCCGGGAGAGGUGAGAGGUACUUCAGGGGUAGGGGUGAAAUCUUGUAAUCCUUGAAGGACCACCAGUGGCGAAGGCGUCUCACCAGAACGGACCUGACGGCAAGGGACGAAAGCUAGGGGCACGAACCGGAUUAGAUACCCGGGUAGUCCUAGCCGUAAACGAUACUCGCUAGGUGUCGGCCACGGUGCGACCGUUGUCGGUGCCGUAGGGAAGCCGUGAAGCGAGCCGCCUGGGAAGUACGGCCGCAAGGCUGAAACUUAAAGGAAUUGGCGGGGGAGCACAAGGGCGAUUG
rnacentral:rRNA from 1 species